AGGGUGCAAGCGUUAUCCGGAAUCAUUGGGUUUAAAGGGUCCGUAGGCGGACUGAUAAGUCAGGGGUGAAAUCCAACAGCUUAACUGUUGAACUGCCCUUGAUACUGUUAGUCUUGAAUUAUAUGGAAGUANAUAGAAUGUAUAGUGUAGCGGUGAAAUGCUUAGAGAUUACACAGAAUACCGAUUGCGAAGGCAGUCUACUACGUAUAUAUUGACGCUAAUGGACGAAAGCGUGGGGAGCGAACAGGAUUAGAUACCCUGGUAGUCCACGCCGUAAACGAUGGACACUAGUUGUUGGAUUUAUUCAGUGACUAAGCGAAAGUGAUAAGUGUCCCACCUGGGGAGUACGAUCGUAAGAUGGAAACUCAAAGGAAUUGACGGGGGCCCGCACAAGCGGUGGAGCCUGUGGUUUAAUUCGAUGAUACGCGAGGAACCUUACCAGGGCUUAAAUGUAGGUUGCAUUAGGUAGAGAUACUUAUUUNUUCGGACUACUUACAAGGUGCCGCAUGGUUGUCGUCAGCUCGUGCCGUGAGGUGUCUGGUUAGGUCCUAUAACGAGCGCAACCCUUUCGUAAGUUGCCAGCCAAGUAAAGUNGGGGGANUUUAANUGAGAUGCCGGUGCAAACCGAGAGGAAGGUGGGGAUGACGUCAAUUCAUCACGGCCCUUACGUCUUGGGCUACACACGUGNUACAAUGGUAUGGACAGAGAGCAGCCACUGGGUGACCAGGAGCGNAUCUACAAACCAUAUCACAGUUCGGAUCGGAGUNUGCAACUCGACUCCGUGAAGCUGGAAUCGUUAGUAAUCGCAUAUCAGCCAUGAUGCGGUGAAUACGUUCCCGGGCCUUGUACACACCGCCCGUCAAGCCAUGGAAGCUGGGAGUACNUGAAGUCGGUCACCGCAAGGAGCCGCCUAGGGUAAAACUAGUAACUAGGGNUAAGUCGUAACAAGGUAACC
rnacentral:rRNA from 1 species